CGUCCUUGAAAUACCACCCUUUAACGUUUGAUGUUCUAACGAAGAUUACGAAACGUGGUCUCGGACAGUGUCUGGUGGGUAGUUUGACUGGGGCGGUCUCCUCCCAAAGCGUAACGGAGGAGCACGAAGGUUUGCUAAUCACGGUCGGACAUCGUGAGGUUAGUGCAAUGGUAUAAGCAAGCUUAACUGCGAGACAGACAAGUCGAGCAGGUGCGAAAGCAGGUCAUAGUGAUCCGGUGGUUCUGAAUGGAAGGGCCAUCGCUCAACGGAUAAAAGGUACUCCGGGGAUAACAGGCUGAUACCGCCCAAGAGUUCAUAUCGACGGCGGUGUUUGGCACCUCGAUGUCGGCUCAUCACAUCCUGGGGCUGAAGUAGGUCCCAAGGGUAUGGCUGUUCGCCAUUUAAAGUGGUACGCGAGCUGGGUUUAGAACGUCGUGAGACAGUUCGGUCCCUAUCUGCCGUGGGCGUUGGAGAAUUGAGAGGGGCUGCUCCUAGUACGAGAGGACCGGAGUGGACGCAUCACUGGUGUACCAGUUGUCUCGCCAGAGGCACUGCUGGGUAGCUAAAUGCGGAAGAGAUAAGUGCUGAAAGCAUCUAAGCACGAAACUCGCCUUAAGAUGAGUUCUCCCUAGCUAUAAGCUAGUAAGGGUUGUUGAAGACUACGACGUAGAUAGGUCUGGUGUGUAAGCGGUGUGAGCCGUUGAGCUAACAGAUACUAAUUGCCCGAGAGGCUUAACUAUACAACCUCAAGCGUU
rnacentral:rRNA from 1 species